rnacentral:rRNA from 1 species
AGCCUGCCCAGUGACAAAGUUCAACGGCCGCGGUACCCUAACCGUGCGAAGGUAGCAUAAUCACUUGUUCUUUAAAUGAGGACUUGUAUCAACGGCACUACGAGGGCUAUACUGUCUCCUUUUUCUAAUCAGUGAAACUGAUCUCCCCGUGAAGAAGCGGGGAUCAAAAUAUAAGACGAGAAGACCCCAUGGAGCUUUAAACUCACUAUACACCUCUGUGCCUUUAUGCCACUAGACACAAGAGAUCUGCGUACUAGUUUUAGGUUGGGGGGACCACGGAGUAUAAUUUAACCUCCAUAACAAAUGGGCUAACACCCUUAUCUACGAGACACAACUCUAAGAAUUACUAAACUAAUGCUUAUGACCCGAUAUUCGAUCAAUGAACCAAGUUACCCUGGGGAUAACAGCGCAAUCUACUUCAAGAGCCCAUAUCGACAAGUGGGUUUACGACCUCGAUGUUGGAUCAGGGUAUCCCGGUGGUGCAGCCGCUACCGACGGUUCGUUUGUUCAACGAUUAAAACCCUACGUGAUCU